GCUCGGCGUCAAUGUUUCGACCAAAGGGCCCUCGUCAGGAGAGCACCUGCUGUGGAACUAUCAAGAAUGUUAUCAAGGCACUGCCACAUUGCUUUCUGGUUACUAAACCAUUCAAAAAGAUGUUUGGUGAAGAUGUGGUACUAUAUGAUGACCAGUCUGGGCCUUUGGCUUCUCCUGACAGUAAAUUGACAUCAGCAUAUGGAACACCGGAUGCAGUUUGGAAUG